GACGAACGCUGGCGGCGCGCUUAACACAUGCAAGUCGAACGAUGAACCCGGAGCUUGCUCCGGUGGAUUAGUGGCGAACGGGUGAGUAACACGUGAGUAACCUGCCCUUGACUCUGGGAUAACUGCGGGAAACUGUAGCUACUACCGGAUACGACCCUCGGCGGCAUCGCCAGGGGGUGGAAAGAAUUUCGGUCAAGGAUGGACUCGCGGCCUAUCAGCUAGUUGGUGAGGUAACGGCUCACCAAGGCGACGCCGGGUAGCCGGCCUGAGAGGGUGACCGGCCACACUGGGACUGAGACACGGCCCAGACUCCUACGGGAGGCAGCAGUGUGGAAUAUUGCACAAUGGGCGCAAGCCUGAUGCAGCAACGCCGCGUGAGGGAUGACGGCCUUCGGGUUGUAAACCUCUUUUAGUAGGGAAGAAGCGAAAGUGACGGUACCUGCAGAAAAAGCACCGGCUAACUUCGUGCCAGCAGCCGCCGUAA
rnacentral:rRNA from 1 species